rnacentral:sRNA from 1 species
ACAUCUGCAAAAUCAGAUGUCGGGUUUGCAAACCUGCUGUAACUAGAAAGGCGCACAGCACGCCGUAAGCGUGUUUUUU